ensembl:lncRNA
GUUUUACAGCAGGCCAGAGUCAGGGGCCCAAGCAGAAGCCCAUUUUUGGUGGCUGGUUCUGCCAUCUGUCCAGCAGCACCAUGGUGCUCCUCAGUGGUCACUGGGAAACAGAAAUCUUCAGACAGUAUUAGCCAGCUUUUGCCAUAGCAAAAAAGGCCUUUUCUUAUUCAUAUAUAGGCAUUACUUUAUCUGACCGGAAAAAUGAAAAUGGAAGAAAAAAUGAAAGGGAAGUCCCUUCCAUUUUCAAGAUGAGAAACUGGAACAUUAUAGUAAAAUUUAUGCUACCAGAAACAUUUAUUCCUCUGUGAUCUUUUACUGUUUUCUUAAAUGAGCAGCUUCACUCCAUCCAGCCAUAGUGAUUCCCUCUUCAUUCCUAUGCAAAGAAUCAGUUUAGACUGAUUCAACUACUUUUACAGGCAGCCACCAAAUGAAUACAUUGCAUUUCACUGAGUUUGCAAAUGCUGGUUUGGUCACAAGUUGCUCAGACAAAAAGGUUCUAUAGCAAACAUUGGUUAUUUUCACUUCUCUUCCUUCUCACAUGCAAGAGGAGUGACAGUCAUCCAUUGACAUUUAUUUGUGAAAUAGAGAGUUUUGUCUCUUCAUAUAUCAUAUACCAAAUUAACCAUGUUAUUUCAGCUAUGUAAUUUUUUUUCACCCCAUUUAAUUAUACUGUUUGAAAUUAUGUAUGCUUAUACUGGUAUGAAGGUGUUUUGCACUGACACUGGUUUUAUUUCUGCUAGGGAAAAAUAAGUAAUUCUUACACAGCUCCUGAACUGGAGAUGUACAGCUUUAACUGUACUCAUGUAGUUAGGUCAGCACAACUCUACUGUAAACAAGGUGUAUAUUGCACAGCUAAGGCUAGAUUACUCGGGUUUGCACAAGCUCUGCCUACAGAAUAUGCACAACCAGUAUAACUAGUUGUGCUUUAAUAAAUUCUAAUAACACAUGUCUAAUUACAACAGUUCAUCUCGACAUUUCCUGCCUGCCUCUCACAGAAUGACUAAGCGCUUCUCUCUCACCACCGAGCCAAUUGCUGCCUGCACACUGUUAUUAGGGGCAGUCCUGUAUCAUUUUCACAAUUAUAGGAUAUGUCAUUUCAUACUUGUGGACUGCCAACAAGAGAGCACUGUCCAUCCAGAAGAAAAAUACUGCCUGCAAUCGCUUUCAAGGGCUGAAAGAGGCAAAUGUUUACUCACAGGCACAGCUUUUCUGACCAUGAAUAGUCCCUGUGCUUUCAAAGGGAUUAAGCCUGGUAAUCAGUGAGAGCAGGCAUCCAAGGACAAGCAACAAGAUUGAUUGAUUCCCCCCCUUGAUACCUCAGGACCAGAACCACUAACAGACGCUGUAGAGAAGCUCACUGUGCACAUUUUGAUCCACAUCAUGUACAUCAGUGUAGCACAUUCACAAACUAAGGGAUUAGGAUAUUGUUGAGCUGAAUGCCACCGAAAGCAUUUGCACUUACAAAAAAUAUAAUGAUCUAUGUUUAAUAAAGCAACCCAUGACUUGCAUAAACUGGGGCUGAAAAUUUAGGAUUGUGAAAUACUAGAAUAUCCUGAAUUGAAAGGGUCCCACACAAGGGUCAUCCAGUCCAACUCCUGGCCCUUCACAGCACUAUCCCCAAGAGUUACACCAUGUGCCUGAGAGUGUUGUCCAGAAGCUUCUUGAGCUCUGUCAGGUUUGGUGUUGUGACCACUUCCCUGGGGAGCGGCUCCAGUGCCCAGCCACCCUCUGAAUGAUGAACCUUUUUCUAAUAUCCAACCUAAACCUCCUCUGACACAACUUCAGGCCAUUCCCUAGGUUCCUGUCACUGUCAUCACAGAGAAGUGUCUGCCCCUCCUCUUCCCCUCAUGGGGAAGUUGUAACUGCAGUGAGGUCUCCCCUCAGUCUCUACUUCUCCAGGCUGACCAGACCAAGUGACCUCAGCCACUCCUCACAGCUUCCCCUGAAGGCCCUUUCCCAUCUUUGCUGCCCUCCUUUGGACAUUCUCUAAUAGUUUAAUGUCUUCCUUUUAUUGUGGUGCCCAAAACUGCCCCCAGGACAUGAGGUGAGGCCACCCCAGUGCAGAGCAGAGCUGGAGAAUCCCCUCCCUUGCCCAGGUGGUGAUGUUGUGCCUGAAGACCCCAGGACAGGGAUGUCCUUCCUGGCUGCCAGGGCACUGCUGACUAGGAGCCCACUGCCUGAAUUCAAACCUUUCUGUUCUUGAUCUGCUCAGCAGAGUGAAGAGGUCAGUGUUUCUCUUUGUUUCCCUUCCCACUGCAGUUCUUGGUUUCUCCUUUCUGUGUUUUGACCUUUUUGCCACCUUUGACUUUUAUCUCUUUGGAGCCAGACCAUCUUUCCCAUAAAGUUUUGUAAAAUGUGUCUCUGGGUCUUUGUGUGCAACUUCAGACACUGCCGCACUUAUAAUUUGGCAAGAAGGAAAUUAUUUUCUUUCUUAGGUAGGGAAAUGAUCCCAAAUAUAUGUUAACAUCUGAAACUUGAAUUUCAACAAAUGGCUGUUUGCUUCUGUGGCAUCUACUUCAGCAUGCCAUUGACUUCACAGGACGUGUACUGGGGACUGGAGCUGUGCACAUGCUGCAGACAGCUUUCCUUUGGCUGAAGACUACAGAAAGCUAGAAUGGCAUUAGCAGCUGCCUGAAGCACAGGUUACAGCAAAGUAUAUCAUGUUCAUAUCAUCAUUACAUACCUUGGAUUCCACUGUAAGCCUGAAGUCGGGGAGUGAGGAGAACUCUUUGGACCAUAAAUACAUUAGCUCAGCGUGAUGAACUAUGUGAAUUUGUCCUUCAGUUAAGGGUAAAGAAGAAAGCACUUUUAUUCCACAGUCAUAUUCUUGAGACUACUAUAGUGCAAAUCAAGACAGGAUUUUUUUCUCUUGUUGCAGAAAACUUGGAGACAUUUCUGUCUGUAACAUAUACUACUGAAAUUCUCAGUAUAUGUAUAUAUCUGAAGCAAAGUGUAAAUCUUCAUUCACAAUCAAACUUAAAUAAUAAUUUCUGAGUGUGCUCAGAGCUAUGCCUGCAAUAAUAGUUCUUUAUUAUUUAAUAUGUAUUUUGUAGAGUACUGGCAAUUUAUUUAAAGGGAAAAUAGAAAAAAAAUUCUAGAAACAAGUAAGACGUAAUUAUUAGAAACCCAGAGAAAAGAGAAUUUUGGCUUUUAUGAUGCUUGGACACUGUGGAGAGGAAAUGGAACAAAGACAUGGUGGAUCAAAGAUGAGGAAAAAAAAAGGCAUGAUGCUUUUAUGAGGGAAGGACUUGGAAGCAAAAGAAAUGUUUCACCUUCUCUAAUCCUGAAUUUUUCAUAUGGCCAAAAUGAGCAUAAGGAGAAAAAUAAAGCCAGAGGUAGAAAUCCAUCUAACUGAGAAUGGGUCCAAGAGAUUCUUCUGUUGUUGUUGUUGAAGUUCAAUACAUAGUUGGAAGAUACAGAUUUUUAAAAAUAAUGCAUAUUUUAAAGUAAUUGUAUGCACAGCUACCAGAACCAAGUCCAGCAUAAGCAGAAAUGCUUCACUGCUUUCCCUAAUAAGGAAAAAAGGGGCAUAAUUCUCUGAUUGAAAACAUGUCCUCUUUUCUCUCUCAUUUCUAUCAAAUUCUAACAAAGUUAUUUGCAUUCGUCUCAAAAUUUCUGAUAAUUUUGUCACUUGCAGCCAAGCCUCUGUGCCUUGAAACACGACAUUGUCAGAUCAUCCAAAGUCUUAGCUGCACCAUUAACUGUACAAAAAUUGAGAUUAAAUAAACAAAUUCUGAAAAUAGGGCAUUAGGGUAUUUAUUUGCACUUGGAAAUCAUUGUUGUUUUUUAUCUUACCAGAAAAAUUGCCUCACAGAGCGAUUUCUGACCCUUGAUUCAGCACACUGCUUCGGCAUCAUUCCCAAUCCCUGUUAAUCCUGGGCAUAAAAACCACCCGAAGCUACUGCGUGCUGCUGCAGAGCACUACAUUAUGGGUCAAAGGGACAGAGCUUUGACAACCUUUCUUUACUGCCCUCUAUCAAACAAAUAAUUUUGAGAUGUUGAAAACAUUUGGAGCUAAAAGAAGACACACUACCCCCACAUGCAGAGUGUUUCCAGUGAGCAGCACGGGGCUGUGCAGGUUUCACCUGUGCAUUAGCCCAUCUGUGGGCAGUUCCAGCAAGGCUCAGAACACGAGGCCCCUCUAGCAGGGCUUGCAAAAGCUAAUCCACAAAAUGUUUCUGCUAACUGAGUCAUGUGCUUGAACAUGUGGAAAUUAGAAACUAGCUGAAUCUUUUUAUCUAAUUGCUAAAUUGAGUUUUGAGUUUUGUAUAUUUCAACUGAAAGUAGCAGAGGGGACCUUCCUACUGCACAAUGUAGUUGGACUGUGUGUGGGAUGAAUGGGCAAUUUAAAACAGGUAUUUCUUUAGUGCAUUUCUCUAAUUGAGUAUAUUGAGUGUAUUUCUUUUCUUUAAUUCCCAUACUGUAUUUCUCUUGUAUUUAUAUAUGUAUAAAUGCAUAAAUAUAAUAUAUGUAUAUAUGUAUAAACAUAAAUUUAUAUAUGUAUUUAUAUAUGUAUAAAUUUAGAUAUGCAUUUGUGCAUGUUUCAGUGAUGUUCAGGC